ACUCUAUGCCUCCUGGCUUUGCUUUUCUGGGGGUUGGCGGUCAACCUGAAACCGUAAACAGGACCUGGAAACAUCUGCGUUGCUAACCCUUGCUCAGUUCGCUAUGAACCCGGUCAUCUUAUCAGAAACGUCUACGUGUGUGGGAUGUGGGACUGCUUCAGAUGGACCACAGCAACAGACUGUUUACUUCGUGUGGGCUCAGAGAGGCACUCUUUGCCAGCUGCAGAUAGUUUAGAUCUGAGGACUCUGGAGAGAGAACAGAAAGUGUGGAAGCUCUGAGAAAGAACAAGGCAGUUACUUCCUCUUUACUGCUGGUUGCUGUUGUGAGACAAGAAGUUGGAGAUCUCCUGAGAUGAGGAUUGAGUUGGCUCCAAGGAACCCGAUGACCCUAACCAGCAGGAAGCAGCUAAGAGAACUGUGCCCUCUCUCCCUCUAACCCUUUCUCUCUACCACCUGGUAUUGGGGUGUUGAAGGGAUUGGGGCAGAGUAGAGAGAAAGGGAUAAAAGAAAUGUAAAUAAAAAUUUUUAAAAGUAUACCAACACA